rnacentral:snoRNA from 2 species
AUUCCAUGGUGAGGGCAAUUCUUUAUCAUAUAUUGAAUCGUUCAAAUGCCUCAUGAAACAUCUCACCAUGUUGUUGUUGGAAGCUUCUCAACCCCUUUCUUGCAU